rnacentral:rRNA from 1 species
UACGGAGGGUGCAAGCGUUGCUCGGAAUUAUUGGGCGUAAAGAGCUCGUAGGCGGUCUGUCGCGUCUGCUGUGAAAACCUGGGGCUUAACCCCGGGCCUGCAGUGGGUACGGGCAGACUAGAGUGCGGUAGGGGAGACUGGAAUUCCUGGUGUAGCGGUGAAAUGCGCAGAUAUCAGGAGGAACACCGGUGGCGAAGGCGGGUCUCUGGGCCGUAACUGACGCUGAGGAGCGAAAGCAUGGGGAGCGAACAGG